rnacentral:rRNA from 1 species
GACAGAGGCCUCGAGCGUUAGGCGGAAUCACUGGGCUUAAAGCGUGUGUAGGCGGAUCGUUAAGUGCCUUGUGAAAUCCCACGGCUUAACUGUGGAACGGCUGGGCAUACUGGCGGUCUUGAGCCAUCUAGGGGCGACUGGAAUAAACGGUGGAGCGGUGAAAUGCGUAGAUAUCGUUUGGAACGCCAAUGGUGAAAACAGGUCGCUGGGGAUGAGCUGACGCUGAGACACGAAAGCCAGGGGAGCAAACGGG